GUGGCGCCAGCCAUUGUGGAGCCAACGUUGAAAUACCAACCUUCUGUUACUUAGAGUCUAACUCGUGAGAAUGAGGACAUUGCAUGGUGGGAGUUUGACUGGGGUGGUCGCCUCCUAAAGAGUAACGGAGGCUCGCAAAGGUACCCUCAGUACGGUUGGUAAUCGUACGCAGAGCGCAUUAGUAAAAGGGUGCUUGACUGUGAGACUUACUAGUCGAGCAGGUGCGAAAGCAGGCUAAAGUGAUCCGGUGGUUUCCGUAUGGAAGGGCCAUCGCUCAAAGGAUAAAAGGUACUCCGGGGAUAACAGGCUGAUCUCCCCCAAGAGCUCAUAUCGACGGGGAGGUUUGGCACCUCGAUGUCGGUUCGUCACAUCCUGGGGCUGGAGAAGGUCCCAAGGGUUCGGCUGUUCGCCGAUUAAAGUGGCACGUGAACUGGGUUCAGAACGUCGCAAGACAGUUCGGUCUCUAUCUGUGGUGGGCGUU
rnacentral:rRNA from 1 species